AUACGUAGGUGACAAACGUUAUCCGGAUUUACUGGGCGUAAGGGCGUGUAGGCGGUCUUGCAAGUCAGAAGUGAAAUUCCUGAGCUCAACUCGGGCGCUGCUUCUGAAACUGCAGGACUUGAGUGCUGGAGGGGAUAGCGGAAUUCCUAGUGGAGCGGUAAAAUGCGCAGAUAUUAGGAAGAACACCGGUGGGGAAGGCGGAUAUUUGAACAUUAACUGACGUUGAGGCGCGCACGAGGGGGAAGCAAACAAGUAUAGAUACCCAGUGAGUUCACGCCGUAAACGAUGAAUACUAGGCGUAGGGGGUAUCGACUCCCUCUGUGCCGCAGUUAACACAAUAAGUAUUCCGCCUGGGGCGUACGGCCGCAAGGUUGAAACUCAAAUGAAUUUGCGGGG
rnacentral:rRNA from 1 species